rnacentral:rRNA from 1 species
CACGUAGGGUGCGAGCGUUGUCCGGAAUUAUUGGGCGUAAAGAGCUCGUAGGCGGUGUGUCGCGUCGGCCGUGAAAACCUGCAGCUUAACUGUGGGCUUGCGGUCGAUACGGGCAUCACUGGAGUUCGGCAGGGGAGACUGGAAUUCCUGGUGUAGCGGUGAAAUGCGCAGAUAUCCGGAGGAACACCGGUGGCGAAGGCGGGUCUCUGGGCCGAUAUUGACGCUGAGGAGCGAAAGCGUGGGGAGCGAACAGG